rnacentral:ncRNA from 1 species
AAUUUUCUUCGGGGCAAGGUGAAAUUCCUUACCGGCGGUUAUAGUCCGCGACUCCUUUUAUUUUUUAAUUGGACUGAUUUGGUGAAAAUCCAAAACCGACAGUAUAGUCUGGAUGAGAGAAGAAAAUU